rnacentral:rRNA from 1 species
AGCGAACGCUGGCGGCAGGCCUAACACAUGCAAGUCGAACGGACCCUUCGGGGUUAGUGACGGACGGGUGAGUAACACGUGGGAACGUGCCUUUAGGUUCGGAAUAGCUCCUGGAAACGGGUGGUAAUGCCGAAUGUGCCCUUCGGGGGAAAGAUUUAUCGCCUUUAGAGCGGCCCGCGUCUGAUUAGCUAGUUGGUGAGGUAAUGGCUCACCAAGGCGACGAUCAGUAGCUGGUCUGAGAGGAUGACCAGCCACAUUGGGACUGAGACACGGCCCAAACUCCUACGGGAGGCAGCAGUGGGGAAUCUUGCGCAAUGGGCGAAAGCCUGACGCAGCCAUGCCGCGUGGAUGAUGAAGGUCUUAGGAUUGUAAAAUCCUUUCACCGGUGAAGAUAAUGACUGUAGCCGGAGAAGAAGCCCCGGCUAACUUCGUGCCAGCCGCCGCCGUAA